UACGUAGGGUGCAAGCGUUAAUCGGAAUUACUGGGCGUAAAGCGUGCGCAGGCGGUGAUGUAAGACAGGUGUGAAAUCCCGGGCUUAACCUGGGAACUGCAUUUGUGACUGCAUCGCUGGAGUGCGGCAGAGGGGGAUGGAAUUCCGCGUGUAGCAGUGAAAUGCGUAGAUAUGCGGAGGAACACCGAUGGCGAAAGGCAAUCCCCUGGGCCUGCACUGACGCUCAUGCACGAAAGCGUGGGGAGCGAAACAAGGAUUGAGAU
rnacentral:rRNA from 1 species